UUGUUUCAAACUCGAACUUAGAAUAACUAAGCCCGUAGGCCUUUUAUGAUCGAGUGAGUCAUUGCUCGAACUCGAAGUAAGAUAGCCCUUAGGCUUUAAUAAUUGAGUGAGUGAUUGUUUCGAACUCGAACUCAGAAUAAUUAAGCCCGUUGGCCUUUUAUGAUCGAGUGAGUGAUUUCCCGAACUCGAAGAAAGAUAGCCCUUAGGCUUUAAUAAUUUAGUGAGUGAUUGUUCCGAACUCGUACUCAGAAUAACUAAGAAUGUAGGCCUUUUAUGAUCGAGUGAGUGAUUUAUCGAACCCGAAGUACGAUAGCCCUUUGGCUUUAAUAAUUGAGUGAGUGAUUGUUUCGAACUCGAACUCAGAAUAUCUAAGCAUGUAGGCCUUUUAUGAUCGAGUGAGUGAUUGAUCGAACUCGAAGUAAGAUAGCCCUUAGGCUUUAAUAAUUGAGUGAGAGAUUGUUUCGAACUCGAACUCAGAAUAUCUAAGCAUGUUUGCCUUUUAUGAUCGAGUGAGUUAUUGCUCGAACUCGAAGUAAGAUAGCUUUUAGGCUUUAAUAAUUGGGUGAGUGAUUGUUUCGACCUCGAACUCAAAAUAUCUAAGCCUGUAGGGCUUUUAUGAUCGAGUGAGUGAUUGCUCGAACUUGAAGUAAGAUAGCCCUUAGGCUUUAAUAAUUGAGUGAGUGAUUGUUUCGAACUCGAGCUCAGAAUAUCUAAGCCCGUAGGCCUUUUAUGAUUGAGUGAGUGAUUGCUCGAACUCGAAGUAUGAUAGCCCUU
rnacentral:lncRNA from 1 species